CCGCUGUCGAGCGCUAUCGACGAGGAGC
rnacentral:sRNA from 1 species